GGGGGUGUAGCUCAGUUGGCUAGAGCGCAUGAAUGGCAUUCAUGAGGCCGCGGGUUCAAUUCCCACCACCUCCA
rnacentral:tRNA from 1 species